UGGAUCAAGGUCACAUCUAAAACCUGCAGGACACCGGCCCUCGAGGUCUGGAGUUGGACAACGCUGCCCUGUACCAUCAGAGUCUGGAUGCAUGCUCAGUCAUCCAGCUCGGCUCCUGUACCAGAGGACCAGGAGGAUCUGCCACAGCAUCUUAUCUGUUCCUAGAACGGCGUUCUUCUGGACACAGAUCUUAGAUGUCAGUUUGGAGGUUAAUGUAUCGACAACAUCGGCAGGCUCCUAUUAAGACGAUGGGUUCUAGGGAAUCUCCUCUCAGAUCUGGACAAGGGCAUCCCUGAGCUGGACUGAGGUGAAACGCGGUGGUGUCGGAUAAAGUCAUGAAUCCAUAUCCAUGAUGGUUCCUUUUCCCGCUCCUGGUCUUUCGUGGUUUUCUGCCACCUAAAGUAUUCACUUAAGCACAUGAUGAGUUAUCCUCCAAAGAUAAUGUCCCAGAGGUGUUCUACUGGAUUUAGGUCAGGUGAGGAUGGGGGUGGUAUCAAUUCCUUCAUCCUCCAGGAACUGCCUGCAUACUUUCCCCACCAGGCCAGACAUCGUUGUGCACCAGGACCCAGGACCCGCUGCACCAGCAUAGGGUUUGACUGCGGCUCCACAGAGAUCAUCCUCUUACCUGGCGUUCUGCUCCAAUCCCGCCAAGCUGUUCUCCAGAUUUGGGGUAAAAAGGCUGAAUAUGAAUGGAUAUUUUUCUACCUUAGCUACAACACUGCAAAUAAAAACAUUACUUAUU